AAUUAGUCUGGCUUGCCAGGCUAAAUGACCCCUAUGUCGGCCAAUAAUAUCGGCCAGGCCCUAAUGUGGAGGUAUGUACUUAAUCAAAAAAGGUGAAAAAUAGCUGAAAAUAUGUUUUCUAUUCUGUUUUCUUCAAAAUAGCAUGGAGUUGCAUGUUCUCUCCGGGUACUUCGGUUUCCCCACAGAUCACAACAUGCCCUAUAGGUUAACAAUUGCAUGCCGAUUUGGAUAAAAGCGUCUGCCAAAUAAAUAAACGUAAACAGUGGCCAGAAUCCAGUGUGGGCCACCACAGAGAAAGGCUGAUCUAACAUGAUGACUUAAAUUAUUUUACAGGUUAUUUGCUCAGCCUCCUGACGGUCAUGCUCACACAGACACGAGUGUGGGUGAGUGGCUGCAUUUGGCUGUUGAUGCUCCGUGUGUGUUUUUAUUUCUGUAGUAAGACAAACUCACCUCACACCACCGAGUUUGUUCUUCAAAACUCGUGGUAAAUCCAACGUGUUGACACGUUAAAAUGAGCUUCCUUCUUGCCGUAUUUUUGCUGCAGGAUGCUGAAUUAACAUCACGGAGUGAAAGUUCUGCAGAUGUGUUGGUUUAUAUUUUUGCCGCUGUGCGCUUGUGCAGUGUGAGAGAAGAGUCUCUGCCGGCUUCAGAGUAGGAGCGACAGACAGCUGGUGUGAUCAGCUCUGAAAGGUGUUGACCAGAACUAGGGCUGUCACGGUGUGAAAAUGUAACCUCACGGUUAUUGUGACCAAAAUUACCACGGUUUUCGGUAUUAUCGCGGUAUUUUUUUAAACAUGAUACAUUUUCAGACAACUAAAUAAACCCUGUAUGUCAGGAAAAUAUUGUCCUCAGUUUGUGUCUAAAUUUUGCCUAAAAUGUGUUAUUUUGUAAUUAUGUUGUUUAUUUGUUUACAUUUUCCCCUUUAGUCUUUAAAAUACCAAUAUUUGCCCAUAACUUCUCAUUUUAUGUCUGUUUGAUGUCAUCGUUUUAAAAAUAUUAGAUCAGAUGAUACUCAGUACUCAAGUAGCCUUCUAAUCAGAUACUUUUUUACCCUUACUUGAGUAAUAAACCCUAUAUCAGGAAAAUAUCGUCCUCGGUUUGUGUCCUUCCAGUGAGCUUUGCAGAUGUGGGAAAAUGUCAUCAGGCAGUAAUCGUUGUUAAAUUCAUAAUUAUUCUCAGAGAGAGACCAACUCUUAUCUUGUCUGCGUUCCCCUUCUUCUGUUAUGUUUUCUCCGUGGUCAAGUGCUCUGAUUACUGACAUUUUAUUUAUGGUAACUUCGGUUUUCUUUAAAUAUCUCCAUUUUUAUUCCUUUUAUGAGGAUUUUUGUGUUUUGUUGUUUGGAGAAUGAACCAUAACACAACAUAAAAUCUACUUGACCAAUUUAUGUUUUUAAAUAAGUUUUGAGUUUUAAAUUUUCUUCCAUAAUUUUUAGAAGUAUAUGUUCUGCUGACAUUAAUUUCUUUUAAAAAUCAUAUUGACAAAAAUAAAUAGAAGAAAAGAAAAUGAUGUGAUAUAGAUUUUGGGCCAUAUGGCUCAUUCCUACCCAAAUGAAUAAUAAACCAGAUUUAAGGCUUCAUCGGGCCGUGAUGUCCAGCUUUUGCUGGAGCAAUUUGCAGCCGAGUGUGAAGCAGCUGGGAUGAAAAUAGGAAUGCCCAGUUCCGACAUAAAUAUUGGAAGUAGUUCGAUAUCGGCUGAAAAACACUGUAUUGGAUUAUAUCGUACUGCAUGAAAAAUCUCAGAUAUAAGCAGUAUAUUCCGCUUUAAAUUUCAUUCCAGCAAUUCUAUCCAGCAGCUCCCAGAUCCAGCAUGCAAUUCCUACGUGAUCAGAACAGUGUGUGCGAGGCAAAGUAGCAGGGAGCAAUGUCAGCCGUGUGGUAGUAAUUUUUGUUAGUCCAUAAAAGACAGUGUGGCUCAGUACAACACUUGCCAUGCACAAGCUUCCCGUGGUGGAACAGCACCAGGAAUGUUUUAUAUGUCCAACCUCAUCGUACAUUUGAAGCAGCAUCACAAAACACAGCAUGAGGAUUUGCAGUGUGUGAAAUUGAAUCUUGGGACACUCAACUUGUAGCAGUUGGUAAAUGGACAAUAUUGUCCCUGCCCUCUGCAGUUCCUACCGUUUGCUGACAGUAAAACAUAACUGAAAUGACCUUGAAUUAGUAUUUAGUACUUUGAAAAGAUAUAUUUUGUUUAUUUUUUAUUACUUAUAUUUAUUUAUUUACUUAAAAUAUUUUCAGAGUAUUUUCAUUUAUUUUUAUUAUUUUUUUCUCAUUAUGUUACAUUGUUACUCAUUACAUACAUUAUGUUUAAGGUUGACAUUUAUGCAACCAAUGGUUAAAAAAUUGUCUUUUUUUCAUACUGUUGCUGGCGUUUGUUCUCCAGUUGAGUCAUAUCACUUGGUCAAGCCUUUCAUACAUUCCACUAGGGCUGCCUCAAACAACUAUUUUAAUAGUCGACUAAUCGCCAGUUUUGUUGACGAUUAAUCGACUAAUCGUGUCAUUCAUAAAAGUAUAGUUUAUUGCACCAGGAUGCUCUAAUAUACCCAUCCUUAGCUUCUAGUUUGAAGUGUGAUCAGCUCUGUGGCUUCUAAUAAUAAAGAGAAGAUGAUAGCUUAUCAAACAACUUUUAAUUAACUUUGUUACCUGUUUGCUACGGUCAGAUGGAGGUAGGCACCUACAACCAAAAAAAAUAAACAGUACUCAAAAAUGACUUGUGUUCACACAAGGCAUGGUGGCAAGGUCGAAGAGCUUCAUUUUCCAAUCUUAAAUCAUGAAAUGGCAGAACACCCCAUGCUGGUCCACGCAUCAGCAGUCAGGGGGUCAUUGACAGCUCUGAGGGUCUACUUUAUCAUAAAGAUAAAAGAUAUUAAAAAAGAUAUGGCCUCGGUCAAGACGUUAGCUUGCUGAGGUGUGCACGUAACAAACUCAUCCAUUGAAGAGGAGCACUUUUAUUAACACUGUAACGUAGCGGGAUGAAAUAAAUCAUUAGCGUUUGUAAUUACAGCAAAAAUAUGUGACAUACAAACGUGUGCUAAAGGUAAUACCGCUACGAGUGUUGCUACAUCUAUGAAUAUGUGUUCUGUUGAUGUUACCAAGAGGUAAACUUACCAUGGCAACUCAUUCUUCACCGCCGUGACGUGCUUCCUCUUUAGGUGCUUGUACAUCGCCGUUGUGCUCCCAUGAAAGGAGAGUUUCACUUUGCAGACUUUGCAGUCUACGUGCCUUUCCUUGACCUUUUAUAAUGUUCCCAGACUUUUGAGCUACGUUGCAGACUCACCAUGUUUUCUUUCUCUAGUGAGGCUAAUCUGGAUGACUACUACCACGCAUGCGCCUCGGAGCUAAAGCAAGCGGCAGCUGAGCAGAGAGGCAGGAAGAAACCGCCAACGUGCUGCAGCAGGCAAACUGUUAGCUAAACACGACUAAAGAAAACCUGCUACCACUUCAGGAUCAUCCAUCAGCUGGGACUGAUUCAUCGUUUGCUCUGGACGACAUGGACACAGUGAACACAAUGAGCCCCACGUCGAAGCACUGAGCCUAGCGGAGCAUGGAAAUGAAGCUGCAUAGCAAACUGAACCAAGACCAGCAACAGAUCAGUUUGUUCCCGGCGACCCAGGGGCCAGAGAAGUCGGUACGGACAGACUGCUGAUGGAGUUGACUUCUGUGGUAUUUGAACCACGUAGUUCCACCUCGAAUAUAGAACCGCUGGUCUGGGAUACCCUCAGGGUGAAUGCUGGCGGUCAGGUAAAGUUUUGCAUCUGAUGCAGCUUUGCAGUUUUGCAAAGAAGGUUUGACCUUGAAGGAUGGUUCCUUAUGCUUUACUGACCCAGUCGGCCGAACUGGACAGUUCUCUAGAACUGACCUUAGAGGAAGUGUCAACUCUUUUUAUUAACUUUUGUUGAUCAAUUUGGAAAAAUCAACAGCUUACAAGUUUAAAUUGGGAGGUGAAGACCUCAGGCACCACCCCUUUCUCAAUCACUUGGAGGUUAUCUCCCUUAAAGGCAGGGUACGUAAGUUUUAAAUGUGAAAUAACUUUAAAAAUGUUUAAUUUUGACCAUCUGACCCAGUUUUAUUAAAAAAGUAAAUAAUCUUUAAUAUUUAAAUUUUCUCCUAAGUCCCUCCCCUGCCCUGUAGAGCUCAGCCAAUAUUUCUGCAAGCCUAACGCAUUGACCAAUAGCGCUGCAUUACCACCAGGGGUACCUGUCAGUCAUCGAGAACGAGCAUUAGAUCUCAGCGUGCAAAACAGUGUCACGCGCCUCACUCGGCUUAGAGGACAGCUCUGGAGCGACAAAACCCCAAAUUACCGAUUUCUCGACUGCCUUCCACAUCUCAAAAAACAUUAAAAAAGUUUAAAAGCCCUUCUUCAAAAGUGGCUGUAAGACGUUUAAGACAGUCGAGUCGAAUUUAAAUUGCAGAUUGUUUUACAUGAUGAUUUUCGUGAUCUACGCGGCAUGAAAACUGAUGAAGAGUUGGCAAAAGUAUCUUUUGGACAGGUAAGUUAUUUAUUGUUUUUCAGAUAAAUUUACUUACAAUAUUUCUUUCACUGAAACAAGUAAUAGAGCAAACAAGCUUUGUAUGCUUGGUGUCCUAUUGGCUAAUGUAGCAUUAGCUUGAAUGCUAAGUCGACAUGAAUCGAUGUUAGUCGUUGAACUAUUUAUGCUAUAUUUGGAAGAAGUUUGAGUAACGAAAGGGGAUUUUAGUUUUUUGUUUAUAUGGGAGCUAAUGAUUAGUGUGGCGUUUAACUACAGGCCACAUCAGUAUAUUGUUUUAAGCUCUUGUUUAUAACUUCCCCGUUAGCGGGGUUCAGUUAGCAUCUUGAACGCUGUAUUAGAUGUUUACACUUUCCUGAGCUGCGUGUUUGAUUAAAAUGAGUAAUCAGCAGCUCAUGUAGCACUUGUAGAAGUCUGAGGAGAUGAUUCAGCAGUUAGAAUUAGGUGUGAUUGAUCAGGAACGUAUCCAAAACCUUACGUUUCCAUUAGCACUGAAAGACAUAUUGUGCUAACCUGGGUGGGCCACGUGUACAGAUUACCGUCUGAGUUUGUGGUCUUACCUACGUGAUUACUCCAUAUUAGAAUAAAAGGAAUGAUAAUCAGCUCGUGCAGAAAUCUGUGAAGGCUGGGGAGAAACAUUAGUUGUUGGAAAAAGACGUAUCUGACCACAAACCUAUCCAAACACGGUCACACUGGCUGUCAGUUAGCCUGAUAUCACACUAUUUAGCCUGCUGCAGUCAUAGCAAUAAUCGAGUUCCAAAUUCAAGUAUUUUAUUAGGUCUCCCUGUUUUGAAAAAGCAAAUCAUAUUAAAAUGAGUGAUUAGCAGCUCAUGUUGACCUCAGUUGGCUGAGGAGAUACUUUAUCAAUUACAAUCAGAUUUGUCUUAGCAGGAAAAUGUAAAAAUAAAAUGUGAUUUGCAUGCUCUUCAUGCUACAGUCAAUUAUUUAGUAGUUUCUCUGACCUUCAUUUCAUUAUAUCUUACACUAACAUAGAUGUGUAAACUAAGAGAUGGCUAUAUAACAUAAUAUUGUGUUUCUUUUACUUGUUUAGCCUGUGAUCACUACUUUUUAUUUUAAUAUGGGCUUUGUUUUUACAGUCAUCAGUCCAAAUAUGAAGCAUCAGCAUCAACACCAUUGAAACGCCAACUGUGUAUUUCUCCAACACCAGUGCCAGCUCUGUCUAGCAUUCAUGGAGAAUCAUCUGAAAGCACCUCUCAAGGUGAAAUUCUUGAGGCGCUUCACAAAAACAAUGGUCACCAAACCGAGAACCAGAAGUUGAUUCGUCUUCAGAGGAGGACGAAACCAUCGAGAUGGACAGCGGUACUGAUGACAGCGGUGAUGAGGACUACACACCUUACAUAAACAUAAGAUACCAUAAAAUAUUCAACAAAAAAUCUAGAUGCUGGAGACUGUAUUCUGAGAAGGUGGCAAAAGACUUCUCCUACAUCCCAGAGAUCCAAACCAUGAUCGUCAACCAACGUUUGACAAGCAAGAAAGGUCUUCCUCGACGCUACAAGCUAAGGCCUGAGGAUCCAAGGCGUUAUGGUUUGCUGUCCGGAGUUCCUGCGCCAUCAACAGAGGAACGUCUACAACACCUACGGACUCGCGGUGAUGGUAAAACUUUGCCAAAGAUAUUGGUGUUGGGGGAGGCAAGAGAAAACCCAAAACCUUCUUUAUUUUUGUCUUUCCUUUUUUUUUUUGUAAAUAAAGAUAUUUUUUGGGGAAAUAAGGACUAAUCAUUUUAAAAUGUAUGUAAAAUGCUGGAGGUAGACAUAAGUUUUUGUUGUUGUGCAGGAGUUUAACAUUUAUGGUAUUUUUACAAAUGCAACACAGAGUUAUGCUUUAGGUUUUGUCUCAGAUAUUUCUGUCUUACAGUUCUAAGAGUUUUCACCAAUUUUUGCCAUUUUUUUAUUAUCUUACAUUAAUUUUGUCAAAAACAGGACAAAUCAUCACGCUACACCAUCAAUGGUUAGGGUAUGGGUUAGGCAUAUUUCAGACACUGCAAUGAAUGCAAGUCAAUGACGGGUCCCUACAAGUAUAGCUGUGUGUGUGUGUGUGUGUGUGUGUGUGUGUGUGUGUGUGUGUGUGUGUGUGUGUGUGUGUGUGUGUGUGUGUGUGUGUGUGUGUGUGUGUGUGUGUGUGUGUGUGUGUGUU